UUAACUCAAAUUUGUAUGCAGUUGGAACAGCGCCCCUAGCGGCAAACGUAGACAAACGUUUUAACUCCAUACAAACUUGAGUUA
rnacentral:pre_miRNA from 1 species